rnacentral:rRNA from 1 species
CCUACGGGAGGCAGCAGUGAGGAAUAUUGGUCAAUGGCCGUAAGGCUGAACCAGCCAAGUCGCGUGAAGGAAGAAGGAUCUAUGGUUUGUAAACUUCUUUUAUAGGGGAAUAAAGGUAUCCACGUGUGGAUAUUUGCAUGUACCCUAUGAAUAAGCAUCGGCUAACUCCGUGCCAGCAGCCGCGGUAAUACGGAGGAUGCGAGCGUUAUCCGGAUUUAUUGGGUUUAAUGGGUGCGUAGGUUGUUUUUUAAGUCAGCGGUGAAAGUUUGUGGCUCAACCAUAAAAUUGCCGUUGAAACUGGAAGACGUGAGUGUGUUUGAGGUAGGCGGAAUGCGUGGUGUAGCGGUGAAAUGCAGAGAUAUCACGCAGAACUCCGAUUGCGAAGGCAGCUUACUAAGCCAUAACUGACACUGAAGCACGAAAGCGUGGGGAUCAAACAGGAUUAGAUACCCUUGUAGUC